AGUGAACGCUGGCGGUAGGCCUAACACAUGCAAGUCGAACGGCAGCACAGGAGAGCUUGCUCUCUGGGUGGCGAGUGGCGGACGGGUGAGGAAUACAUCGGAAUCUACUCUGUCGUGGGGGAUAACGUAGGGAAACUUACGCUAAUACCGCAUACGACCUACGGGUGAAAGCAGGGGACCUUCGGGCCUUGCGCGAUUGAAUGAGCCGAUGUCGGAUUAGCUAGUUGGCGGGGUAAAGGCCCACCAAGGCGACGAUCUGUAGCUGGUCUGAAGGGAUGAUCAGCCACACUGGAACUGAGACACGGUCCAGACUCCUCCGGGAGGCAGCAGUGGGGAAUAUUGGACAAUGGGCGCAAGCCUGAUCCAGCCAUACCGCGUGGGUGAAGAAGGCCUUCGGGUUGUAAAGCCCUUUUGUUGGGAAAGAAAUCCAGCUGGCUAAUACCCGGUUGGGAUGACGGUACCCAAAGAAUAAGCACCGGCUAACUUCGUGCCAGCCGCCGCUGUAA
rnacentral:rRNA from 1 species